rnacentral:tRNA from 1 species
GCCUUGUUAGCGCAGUAGGCAUCGCGUUAGUCUCAUAAUCUGAAGGUCGUGAGUUCGAUCCUCACACGAGGCA